CAAUAGCGUAUACUAAUGUUGUUGCAGUUAAAAAGCUCGUAGUUGAACUUCUGGUAGGAGUGUCCCGGCCUUUUUGUUUUUACAAAUUGUAUGCUGUGUGACAUCUCUGGCCAUCCUUCUUCUUUGUCUAAAGAAGAUCUUUCACUGUAAAAAAAUUAGGGUGUUCAAAGCAAAAGUUUCUUUGGAAUAUAUUAGUAUGGGAUGAUAAGAUAGGCUCUAGAUGCUAUUUUGUUGGUUUGCACAUCUAGAGAAUGAUUAACAGGGACAGUUGGGGGUAUUCGUAUUUACAUGUCAGAGGUGAAAUUCUUGGAUUUUGGAAAGACGAACUACUGCGAAAGCAUUUACCAAGGAUGUUUUCAUUAA
rnacentral:rRNA from 1 species